rnacentral:rRNA from 1 species
GACGAACGCUGGCGGCGUGCUUAACACAUGCAAGUCGAACGCUGAAGCCCUUUCGGGGGUGGAUGAGUGGCGAACGGGUGAGUAACACGUGGGUAAUCUGCCCUGUACUUCGGGAUAAGCCUUGGAAACGGGGUCUAAUACCGGAUAGGACCUGUCCUCGCAUGGGGGUGGGUGGAAAGUUCCGGCGGUAUGGGAUGAGCCCGCGGCCUAUCAGCUUGUUGGUGGGGUAGUGGCCUACCAAGGCGACGACGGGUAGCCGGCCUGAGAGGGUGACCGGUCACACUGGGACUGAGACGCGGCCCAGACUCCUACGGGAGGCAGCAGUGGGGAAUCUGGCGCAAUGGGCGAAAGCCUGACGCAGCAACGCCGCGUGGGGGAUGACGGCCUUCGGGUUGUAAACCUCUUUCGACAUCGACGAAGGGGCCCUGUUGUGGGGUUUUGACGGUAGGUGUAGAAGAAGCACCGGCUAACUACGUGCCAGCAGCCGCGGUAA